CAGAGUUGAUCCUGGCUCAGGAUGAACGCUAGCUACAGGCUUAACACAUGCAAGUCGAGGGGAAACGAUAUUGGAAGCUUGCUUCCGAUAGGCGUCGACCGGCGCACGGGUGAGUAACGCGUAUCCAACCUGCCCACCACUUGGGGAUAACCUUGCGAAAGUAAGACUAAUACCCAAUGACGUCUCUAGAAGACAUCUGAAAGAGAUUAAAGAUUUAUCGGUGAUGGAUGGGGAUGCGUCUGAUUAGCUUGUUGGCGGGGUAACGGCCACCAAGGCUACGAUCAGUAGGGGUUCUGGAGAGGAAGGUCCCCCACAUUGGAACUGAGACACCGGUCCAAACUCCUACGGGAGGCA
rnacentral:rRNA from 1 species